rnacentral:rRNA from 1 species
GAUGAACGCUGGCGGCGUGCCUAAUACAUGCAAGUCGAGCGAACAGACGAGGAGCUUGCUCCUCUGACGUGAGCGGCGGACGGGUGAGUAACACGUGGAUAACCUACCUAUAAGACUGGGAUAACUUCGGGAAACCGGCGCUAAUACCGGAUAAUAUAUUGAACCGCAGGGUUCAAUAGUGAAAGACGGUUUUGCUGUCACUUAUAGAUGGAUCCGCGCCGCAUUAGCUAGUUGGUAAGGUAACGGCUUACCAAGGCAACGAUGCGUAGGCGACCUGGGAGGGUGAUCGGCCACACUGGAACGGAGACACGGUCCAGACUCCUACGGGACGCAGCAGUAGGGAAUCUUCCGCAAUGGGCGAAAGCCUGACGGAGCAACGCCGCGUGAGUGAUGAAGGUCUUCGGAUCGUAAAACUCUGUUAUUAGGGAAGAACAACUGUGUAAGUAACUAUGCACGUCUUGACGGUACCUAAUCAGAAAGCCACGGCUAACUACGUG